UGGGGAAUAUUGCACAAUGGGCGCAAGCCUGAUGCAGCCAUGCCGCGUGUGUGAAGAAGGCCUUCGGGUUGUAAAGCACUUUCAGCGAGGAGGAAGGUGGUGAGCUUAAUACGCUCAUCAAUUGACGUUACUCGCAGAAGAAGCACCGGCUAACUCCGUGCCAGCAGCCGCGGUAAUACGGAGGGUGCAAGCGUUAAUCGGAAUUACUGGGCGUAAAGCGCACGCAGGCGGUUUGUUAAGUCAGAUGUGAAAUCCCCGGGCUCAACCUGGGAACUGCAUUUGAAAACUGGCAAGCUAGAGUCUCGUAGAGGGGGGUAGAAUUCCAGGUGUAGCGGUGAAAUGCGUAGAGAUCUGGAGGAAUACCGGUGGCGAAGGCGGCCCCCCUGGACGAAGAACUGACGCUCAGGUGCGAAAAGCGUGGGGAGCAAAACAGGAUUAGAUACCCUGGUAGUCCACGCUGUAAAACGAUGUCGAUUUGGAGGUUGUGCCCUUGAGGCGUGGCUUCCGGAGCUAACGCGUUAAAUCGACCGCCU
rnacentral:rRNA from 1 species